GUGAAAUAUGUAAAAGCGCGUGAGGCGACCUUCCAGUAGAGAGAACUGCUGUCAAGUGUGCAUAAGCGGGUGGACCUGACGUUUUGACGGUUGUCAUAGCAACGUGGACACGUUUGCCCAAUGUUUGUUCACGUCAGAUGCUCUCCAGCUGAAGCGUCUCUUAUCUCUGCAUUUAAAAUCGAGCUGGAUCUGCGAAGCGCUGAGGCCGGGGGCCCCUGGGUGACGGCCCGGCUUGGAUUUAUUGAGCCUUAAUUAAAGAGCGUGAAUGGAGGCAGACAAUUGACCUUUCAGAAAAGCGGCACCGUGCAGAUGGAGAA
ensembl:lncRNA